UUAUAUUUAAUAUAUCUUUCAACUAUAAUAAUAUUAUAUAAACUCAUGUGUUUUUAAAUAAAAAAUUCAAUCUAAUCUUUAAAUGCUCCCCUUCUUCCCCCGUCCAGUUUAUUUAUUUAUUUAUUUUAUUAUUACAGUCAUCAUUAUUUUUGAAAUCUCCCCAGUAAAGAAAGAACCAAUUACAAUUGAAGCAGGACAAUACCCAAGAGAGCUUCCGCCCUGACCAAGAAGAGGGUGCUGGACAUUGCUCCUCAGAAGUCUACAUCCAAACAAAAAUUUCAAUACCAAAAAUAACAUUAUU
rnacentral:lncRNA from 1 species